GGGAAGAGACCUUGGGCCGGAUGUCAAGUUCCUCCUGUAGAUAGAAAUCCACCACAGGAAAUGUCCGUGAAAAAAUUAACAGGUGGAACAGUGAUUCAUCAUUCAGAAUCUGAGAGCAGACGUCCUCUUGCCACAAUGGGUUGUGGUGGAUCCCUGGUACACUGGAUAUAAGGUUGGAGAAUCUCAAACUGAAUGGGAGGAGAACAGAAUACACCAUGGUAUUUCUCUGUGCUGAUCAGUGUCUCGUUAUCAUUAUAUUGUGUCACAUUUGCAUCUUUACACUAAAACAAAGCAAAAAUGUUAACGUGUGCAGUAUGUAGCUUUUUUGUUCUUUUUUUUUCAGUUGUUUAAUGAGUGAAAAUGCCUCAGAGUGGUAAAGUAUCUAACUGUCAGAACAGCAACUAAAACCUAACAAGCACCAUUGUGUGCUUACUGUAUUUUCUCAUAAAAUGCAAAAGUCUGAUUUUAACAUCUCAUAAAAUGGGCACCUUAUAUUUAUUUCAUGAGUAUUUCAUACUCUAAGUUGUUACAUUAUUAACAUCAACAUUCAAGCUAACAAAAAUGCAGAUGUAAAUAAAUUAAUAAAAUGCCCUAUAAAAAUAAAACACAAAAAUAAAAAUCAGAAUUCUAACUACAGACCAUUAUUGCUUGCUUUAAAAAGAUUUUCUAUUACCCACAUUUUUUUUUUAUAUUUCAUUGAACCUGUUUACAUAUUUUACUCACUGAUAUAUAUUUGUAAUAUGAGUGUAUGUGUUUUUGGAUGAGGUCUCUUAGUGAGGAUCUAACCAUUGUACACUUACAACAAAUGAUCUUGAUCUUACUUCAAAGCUCAGAUUACAUGUCAGAGACUGAUUACUAAGGAUUAAUUAAAUUUAAUUGAAUUUAAUCUGGGGGGCACUGUGGCUUAGUGGUUAGCAUGUUUGCCUCACACCUCCAGGGUUGGGGGUUCAAUUCCCACCUCCGCCU